UACGAAGGGGGCUAGCGUUGUUCGGAAUUACUGGGCGUAAAGGGCGCGUAGGCGGCGUGUCAAGUCAGGCGUGAAAGCCCCGGGCUCAACCUGGGAACCGCGCUUGAGACUGGCAUGCUCGAGUUCGGGAGAGGAUGGUGGAAUUCCCAGUGUAGAGGUGAAAUGCGUAGAGAUCGGGAGGAACACCUGUGGCGAAGGCGGCCGACUGGGCCGACCCUGACGCUGAGGCGCGAAGGCGUGGGGAGCGAACGGG
rnacentral:rRNA from 1 species